GGUUUGAUAAGUUGGAUGUGAAAUCCCAUGGCUUAACCAUGGAACUGCAUCCAAAACUGUCAGACUAGAAUGAGGGAGAGGUCAGUGGAAUUAGUGGUGUAGGGGUAAAAUCCGUAGAGAUCACUAGGAAUACUCAUUGCGAAGGCGACUGACUGGAACUUUAUUGACGCUGAGGCGUGAAAGCGUGGGGAGCAAACAGGAUUAGAUACCCUGGUAGUCCACGCCCUAAACGAUGUACACUAGUUGUUGGGAUGCAAGUCAUUCCAGUGAUGCAGUUAACACAUUAAGUGUACCGCCUGGGGAGUACGGUCGCAAGAUUAAAACUCAAAGGAAUAGACGGGGACCCGCACAAGUGGUGGAGCAUGUGGUUUAAUUCGAAGAUACGCGAAGAACCUUACCUGGGCUUGACAUCCCGAGAAUCACCCAGAGAUGGGUGAGUGCCAGUUUACUGGAGCUCGGUGACAGGUGCUGCACGGCUGUCGUCAGCUCGUGUCGUGAGAUGUUGGGUUAAGUCCCGCAACGAGCGCAACCCUCGUCCUUAGUUGCUAACAGUUAGGCUGAGCACUCUAAGGAGACUGCCUUCGUAAGGAGGAGGAAGGUGAGGACGACGUCAAGUCAUCAUGGCCCUUAUGCCCAGGGCGACACACGUGCUACAAUGGCCAGGACAAUGAGAGGCGAUACCGCGAGGUGGAGCAAAUCUAUA
rnacentral:rRNA from 1 species